GGACUCUAUCGGUCAGCAGUGGUUUGUAGAGUGUCGUACCUCUCUCUCAGGUUUGUGUGGGUCCAUUAGGGUCACUGGUUCUCCCUGUCGAACCAGCACAGCUUGAGAGUCGCCCAGCCAGGAGACGGUCAGGUGAUCAGAGGUGCUUUUGAAGGCUGUGGCAGCAUCACUUUUGAGCUCCUCCUGCUGGCUCAGUAUGACAUGCAGGUGAGUGGCAGCAUAUGUGGCAGCAUCCACCCCUCCGUGUCCAUCAAACACAGCGUAAUACUCUCGAUCUACACCAUCCUGUGGAAAACAGACACAAAAUCACAUUCAUUCCUCAGAGACAGGGCAAUAUGCAUAUUUGGGAAUGGGAUUGGUUGAAUAUCUACUACAAUGCAAGAUGUGGCGGUCUUACCUGCAGACCUAAAAGCUGGUUAAACUCUCUUAGGAUGAUGUGACGGUCCUCCAUCUUCCUGCGAGUGUUACGAAUGGCAUGAAUGGAGCAGCUGUGUGUCUGUAAUGAGGACGACCCGGGACUGGGCAGCUGUUUCUGCCAAGCCAUACACACCUCUCUCAAGUUAUUGAUAAAGAGGCGCUGCAAUGGCUCAGACUGUAACA